CUCUGCAUCUGUUCUUCCUGGAGAGGACUGACUCCCCUUCUGUGGCUUGAGGCAACAGUGGCAGCAUUGUUAAUCAUAGGAGUCUUUUCCAAGGACAGAGGUCUGCUUCACAAUCCCCAGUUAUAUUUCCUUUGGUGAUGUGGGAGGAAUGAAUCUCUCUAGGAGUUCCCUGGGAGCUGUGGCUAUCAUUUAAGUGCUGCAGUCCUGGAGCUGAAAUAUCUCUUAGUAGCAGUUAUCAAAAAGAAAGCCACUGAAACCCAAAUAUAUUCCCAAAAGGAAAGAAGAAAGGAACAAACAAGAUGCUCAGAUGAGAAAUAAAUAAAAAGAGAAAAUCCAAAAGCAGAAAGGGAGAGGAACAACAGAGCACAAUUGUUGCUUGUAGGCAUCUAGAGGCAGAACUUCCUUGGGCAUUCUACUAAAGCAACAAGGACCCAGGACUGUAUCACAACAACUUUGUGGGUUGUAAGAGUAACUUCAGCUCUCUAAUGAGAAUAGGUGGAUAAACUUGUCUGAGAAACUGUGAUGUGUGCACCACUCUACCCAUUUUCUCCUGAUUUUAUAAGCUGAUGGAGUGAGAUAAUGUCUUCCACAAGUUUCUCAAUCAUUCCCACCCACAAAAAGUAGGUGAAGGCCUUCUUUAAGCUUAGCCUUUGUGACAGGCUGAGUGAAAUGAACAUUAAUAGAAAUUUCUUAUUGUAAACCCCAUGAAAAUAAGUGAAAUUGGAAAAUAUGUUAAUUUAUGGAGAUGAAUGACUGCAGAGAAAAACCUAAUAAA